rnacentral:rRNA from 1 species
UACGUAGGGUGCAAGCGUUGUCCGGAAUUAUUGGGCGUAAAGAGCUCGUAGGCGGUUUGUUGCGUCGGCUGUGAAAUCCCGAGGCUCAACCUCGGGUCUGCAGUCGAUACGAGCAAACUAGAGUGUUGCAGGGGAGACUGGAAUUCCUGGUGUAGCGGUGAAAUGCGUAGAGAUCAGGCGGAACUCCCGUGGCGAAGGCGGCCAGCUGGGUCGUCCCUGACGCUGAGGCGCGAAGGCGUGGGGAGCGAACGGG